GAGAUCACUUUGGUGGUCUAGUGGCGGACGGGUGAGUAACACAUGGGAAUCUGCCUUUUAGUGGGGGAUAACGUAGGGAAACUUACGCUAAUACCGCAUACGCUCUACGGAGGAAAGGGGGGGGAUCGCAAGACCUCUCGCUAAAAGAUGAGCCCAUGUCUGAUUAGCUAGUUGGUGGGGUAAGGGCCUACCAAGGCGACGAUCAGUAGCCGGCCUGAGAGGGUGUACGGCCACACUGGGACUGAGACACGGCCCAGACUCCUACGGGAGGCAGCAGUGGGGAAUAUUGGACAAUGGGCGAAAGCCUGAUCCAGCAAUGCCGCGUGUGUGAAGAAGGCCUUCGGGUUGUAAAGCACUUUAAGUGGGAAAGAAGUGCAUUCAAUUAAUACCUGGAUGUAUUGACGUUACCCACAGAAUAAGCACCGGCUAACUCCGUGCCAGCAACCGCGGUAAUACUGAGUGUGCGAGCGUUAAUCGGAAUUACUGGGCGUAAAGCGUAUGUAGGCGGUUUGAUCAGUCGGAUGCGAAAGUCCCCCGAGCUUAACUUG
rnacentral:rRNA from 1 species